CCUACGGGAGGCAGCAGUGAGGAAUAUUGGUCAAUGGGCGAGAGUCUGAACCAGCCAAGUAGCGUGAAGGAUGACUGCCCUAUGGGUUGUAAACUUCUUUUAUAUGGGAAUAAAACGUUCCACGUGUGGGAUUUUGUAUGUACCAUAUGAAUAAGGAUCGGCUAACUCCGUGCCAGCAGCCGCGGUAAUACGGAGGAUCCGAGCGUUAUCCGGAUUUAUUGGGUUUAAAGGGAGCGUAGGUGGAUUGUUAAGUCAAUUGUGAAAGUUUGCGGCUCAACCGUAAAAUUGCAGUUGAAACUGGCAGUCUUGAGUACAGUAGAGGUGGGCGGAAUUCGUGGUGUAGCGGUGAAAUGCUUAGAUAUCACGAAGAACUCCGAUUGCGAAGGCAGUUCACUGGACUGCAACUGACACUGAGGCUCGAAAGUGUGGGUAUCAAACAGGAUUAGAUACCCGGGUAGUC
rnacentral:rRNA from 1 species